rnacentral:misc_RNA from 1 species
GAUGAAGAACGUAGUGAAAUGCGAUAAUUAAUGUGAAUUGCAGAAUUCAGUGAAUCAUCGAGUCUUUGAACGCACAUUGCGCCCCCUGGUAUUCCGGGGGGCAUGCCUGUCCGAGCGUCAUUGCUGCCCUCAAGCACGGCUUGUGUGUUGGGCUUCCGUCCCUGGCAACGGGGACGGGCCCAAAAGGCAGUGGCGGCACCAUGUCUGGUCCUCGAGCGUAUGGGGCUUUGUCACCCGCUCCCGUAGGUCCAGCUGGCAGCUAGCCUCGCAACCACUCUUUUUAACCAGGUUGACCUCGGAUCAGGUAGGGAUACCCGCUGAACUUAAGCAUAUCAAUAAGCGGAGGA